rnacentral:rRNA from 1 species
UACGAAGGAUGCAAGCGUUAUCCGGAUUUAUUGGGUUUAAAGGGAGCGUAGGCGGUCUUAUAAGUCAGUGGUGAAAUCUUGUCGCUUAACGACAAACGUGCCAUUGAUACUGUAGGACUUGAGUACAGAUGCCGUUGGCGGAAUGUGUCAUGUAGCGGUGAAAUGCAUAGAUAUGACACAGAACACCGAUUGCGAAGGCAGCUGACGAGACUGUAACUGACGCUGAGGCUCGAAAGCGUGGGGAUCAAACAGG